GACGAACGCUGGCGGCGUGCCUAAUACAUGCAAGUUGAGCGAUGAAGAUUGGUGCUUGCACCAAUUUGAAGAGCAGCGCACGGGUGAGUAACGCGUGGGGAAUCUGCCUUUGAGCGGGGGACAACAUUUGGAAACGAAUGCUAAUACCGCAUAAUAACUUUAAACAUAAGUUUUAAGUUUGAAAGAUGCAAUUGCAUCACUCAAAGAUGAUCCCGCGUUGUAUUAGCUAGUUGGUGAGGUAAAGGCUCACCAAGGCGAUGAUACAUAGCCGACCUGAGAGGGUGAUCGGCCACAUUGGGACUGAGACACGGCCCAAACGCCUACGGGAGGCAGCAGUAGGGAAUCUUCGGCAAUGGACGAAAGUCUGACCGAGCAACGCCGCGUGAGGGAAGAAGGUUUUCGGAUCGUAAAACUCUGUUGGUAGAGAAGAACGUUGGUGAGAGUGGAAAGCUCAUCAAGUGACGGUAACUACCCAGAAAGGGACGGCUAACUACGUG
rnacentral:rRNA from 1 species